ACUUCUGCUCAUGAUAUGUUAAAUAGCCGCAGUACUCUGACUGUGCAAAGGUAGCAUAAUCAGUUGGCUCCUAAUUACAGUCUGGAAUGAAUGAAUAUAUGGGGAGGCGCUGUCUCAAAAUAUUUAGUUGAAAUUGGUUGUGGGUGAAAACCCCCACAAAUGUCUAAAAGACGAGAAGACCCUAGAAACUUACUUAACUAUUUUGUUGGGGCGACAGAAUUACAUAUAACUAAUUUUUAUUACGUGACGAUUUCAGCUAGCUGAAGUUACUCUAGGGAUAACAGCAUAAUAUUUUUUUUGUUUGUGACCUCGAUGUUGGACUAGGUAAAGUAUUCCUUAGAAGGGAUGUAUAUGCUCUGCUCGAGCCAGGGAACCU
rnacentral:rRNA from 1 species